CCUGUAAUCAAAACCACAGAUGAUGAUGCUCCAGAUACUCAACUAGUCUAAAGAAUACAAUUUUUAUUCAUUCUUUAAUUAGCAAAACAGUUUUCAGCUCUGCUAACAAUUGCAAAAGGGUUUUCUAAUGAUGAAUUAGCCUUUUAAAAUGAUAAACUUGGAUUAGCUAACACAAUGUGCCAUUGGAACACAGGAGUGAUGGCCUCUGUACGCCUACAUAGAUAUUCAUUUAUUUUAAUUUUAAAUCAGCUGUUUCCAGCUACAGUAGUCAUUUACAACAUUAAUGUCUAAACUGUAUUUCUGAUCAAUUUGAUGUUAUUUUAAAUGGACAAUUUUUUUCGCUUUUCUUUCAAAAACAAGGACAUUUCUAAGUGACCCCAAACUUUUGAAUGGUAGUGUAUAUAUAUUUCCUGAGCGUUCUUAUACAGUAUCUCCUGGCUAUAGGACAGACACUUCAAAACCUUUUUUUACUGUAUUUCUAUGGGCUACAGUAGUAAAGGCCAAAUUCAAUAUUUCAUCAGGGGUCCUACAAUUCAAUAUCAAAUAGCUAAAUGAUCCAUGGUAUGGCCUUCUUAAAACAAUACCAUAUGUCAGCUUAGAUUUUCAAGAAUUAAAGCACCAUUUAAUGGUAAUGUGGCAGCCAUAUUGGAUUUGGAGUCAAAUCUAGGGGGGCCCCCUAACUAAGGUUGAGACAUUUGAACAUUUAAACGCAUUUGGGAUCAUUAAUGUUUAGAAAACAUGUCUAACCGAAAACUGUUUUAUUUUAUUUUUUACUAAAUUAAACCGUUAACAGGUCCCGAUCAUCAUCAUAAAGGCAAAAAUACAAAUUAAACAUGCAGGGUGGCAGGGUAGCCUGGUGGUUAGAGCGUUGGGGCGGCAGGGUAGCCUGGUGGUUAGAGCGUUGGGGUGGCAGGGUAGCCUGGUGGUUAGAGCGUUGGGGCGGCAGGGUAGCCUAGUGGUUAGAGCGUUGGGGUGGCAGGGUAGCCUAGUGGUUAGAGCGUUGGGGUGGCAGGGUAGCCUAGUGGUUAGAGCGUUGGGGUGGCAGGGUAGCCUAGUGGUUAGAGCGUUGGGGUGGCAGGGUAGCCUAGUGGUUAGAGCAUUGGGGCGGCAGGUAGCCUGGUGGUUAGAGCGUUGGGGUGGCAGGGGUAGCCUAGUGGUUAGAGCAUUGGGGCGGCAGGUAGCCUGGUGGUUAGAGCGUUGGGGUGGCAGGGUAGCCUAGUGGUUAGAGCGUUGGGGCGGCAGGUAGCCUAGUGGUUAGAGCGUUGGGGUGGCAGGGUAGCCUAGUGGUUAGAGCGUUGGGGUGGCAGGGUAGCCUAGUGGUUAGAGCGUUGGGGCGGCAGGUAGCCUGGUGGUUAGAGCGUUGGGGUGGCAGGGUAGCCUAGUGGUUAGAGCGUUGGGGUGGCAGGGUAACCUAGUGGUUAGAGCGUUGGGGCGGCAGGUAGCCUGGUGGUUAGAGCGUUGGGGUGGCAGGGUAGCCUGGUGGUUAGAGCGUUGGGGUGGCAGGGUAGCCUAGUGGUUAGAGCGUUGGGGCGGCAGGUAGCCUAGUGGUUAGAGCGUUGGGGCGGCAGGUAGCCUAGUGGUUAGAGCGUUGGGGCGGCAGGUAGCCUAGUGGUUAGAGCGUUGGGGUGGCAGGGUAGCCUGGUGGUUAGAGCUUUGGGGUGGCAGGGUAGCCUAGUGGUUAGAGCGUUGGAUUAGUAACCGAAAGUUUGCAAGAUCGAAUCCCCGAGCUGACAACGUAAACAUCUGUCGUUCUGCCCCUGAACAAGGUAACCCACUGUUCCAAGGCCGUCAUUGUAAAUAAGAAUUAGUUCUUAACUGACUUGCCCGGAAAAAUAGAAAAAAAAGAGUGAGAAAAACCACAGAGCUGAUUACAUGAUUGCAGUUGUUAUGCGGAUAGACGUCGGCUUCAAUAACCUGAUGGCAUAUCUAGAACCAGACUACAAGACUGUGAUGGCCCAGAUGGAGAAAUUGUACAAUGAUUGCUCUGCAAGUACAAAGCGCGUUAACAACAGAUUGUUAUGAACACGCUGUCAUACAUCACUGCAACGACCUUGAUACCUUGAUGAGAAGUACUGACCACUGAGAACAUGGAGGAAAGGAACACAACAGAGAACCUAAAUCGGCAUUAAUACCAUUGUUGCUGAGUGGGUCGGGGACAGCAGUAAGGUGAGCGCCAUCUAGCUGGUAGGUGGUCGAGACAACGGUACAUUGAAAUGAAUUGCCCCCUAGUGGUCAUAGGCGAUCGUAUCUGAAUUUUGAAUUCACGUUAUCCUAUGAUUUUAUUACAAAUGAUUAAAUGAGAGAGAAAAAAGUCUGGUUAAACCUUAAGGACAUUUUUACA
ensembl:lncRNA